AGUUCACAAUUAAACGAUUCGAAAAAAGCUCUAAAAGGUCCUGUAAGAGUAUGGUACUUUCACGGGUCGUAAGUUAAGGACAACCAAAUCCCACUUGAAAUGGUUUGUUUAAUUUUUGGAAGCAACACGUUUACUUGCAAAAAUAAAUAUGAUCUAGAGAUAAGCAAUAUAAAAGUAAACUUUUUGCCACUACGCUACUCACUUGCCACAUAAGCUGAAAAACAACAUGAGGGCUAGUUUUUUGAUCUUUUUAUUUGGUUGCGUAUCUCCUUUCGUUGGAAUUCAGGCUGCCAAGACUAUAACAAUUAGUUCACCGUCAUGUAAGUUAAACACCGUUAUCGAAGUACCAACGACGAAGUGCUGCUGUGCCACACCAACGAUUGCUCCUCCACUUAGUCCGCCUGUGUGUAAGUCCUCGAAGAUCGCAGAUAAGACUUAAUCAUUACAUAUUUUUCUCCUUUUUUUCAGCUAAGAAUACAGUAGGAUGUCCAUCGAGGUUUAAAUACGGUCCGCCCACCUGUGUCGUUGCGAGUCCAUAUAAGUACCGUGGAUCCGAAUGCAGUUCAUACUUUCAAUGUACCGGACCUAAUAAAAGUAAAGAAACAGUUUGUGAUCUAUCUACGUUUAGCGAAAAGCAGCAAGCUUGCGUCCCACAUCCUACAAACUUCAAACUGUGCUGUGUCGAAUAGAAGUUGGGUAUUUACGCAAUCGUACUUGCUCAGCAGCAAUCGACAUCCACAUCUUGGUUUUUGUUCUUUUUAGUGUCUUGUAAUCAUUAUCAAUAAAUAUAUAGAUAAAGAACU